UACGGAGGGGGCUAGCGUUGUUCGGAAUUACUGGGCGUAAAGCGCACGUAGGCGGCUUUGUAAGUUAGAGGUGAAAGCCCGGGGCUCAGCUCCGGAAUUGCCUUUAAGACUGCAUCGCUAGAAUUGUGGAGAGGUAAGUGGAAUUCCGAGUGUAGAGGUGAAAUUCGUAGAUAUUCGCAAGAACACCAGUGGCGAAGGCGGCUCACUGGCCCGAUACUGACGCUGAGGCACGAAAGCGUGGGGAGCAAACAGG
rnacentral:rRNA from 1 species